UACGGGGGGAGCAAGCGUUGUUCGGAUUUACUGGGCGUAAAGGGCGCGUAGGCGGCCACUACAAGUCACUUGUGAAAUCUCCGGGCUUAACUCGGAACGGUCAAGUGAUACUGUCGGGCUAGAGUGCAGAAGGGGCAACUGGAAUUCUCGGUGUAGCGGUGAAAUGCGUAGAUAUCGAGAGGAACACCUGCGGCGAAGGCGGGUUGCUGGGCUGACACUGACGCUGAGGCGCGAAAGCCAGGGGAGCGAACGGG
rnacentral:rRNA from 1 species